rnacentral:misc_RNA from 1 species
CUGUAACAAUUUUUCUGUGGAUGAUCUUUUGGUUAUCCCAAAGGACGAUGAAGUUAUGGCAGACGCAUUUUUCAACAGUAUUACAGGAAAUUCUGCUGAUUCUUCCAACGUUACCGUCGUUGACAGCUGUAAUUCCUCUGUUUCUGGUGGAGAUGGACAAUUUAACGGAAACCUGAGCGGCCGCAGCUUCACCGAUGCUCCCUUCCCUAACAGCGAACUCUGUGUUCCGUUUGAUGACUUGGCUGAGCUUGAAUGGCUCUCAAAUUUUGUGGAGGAAUCGUUCUCAAGUGACGACGUUCAAAACUUGCAAUUCAUCCCUGUAGCAAACAUUAAUUCCUCCUCCACCGUCACCACCGACAGUUCCUCUUCCGCAACCACAUUUUCCACCGGACCUAACUCGCCACCUGCCUUCCCCGCCGACACCUCUGUUCCUGGCAAAGCUCGCAGCAAGCGCUCACGCGCCGCUCCCUGUGACUGGUCGUCACGCCUUCAGCUGCUCUUAUCCCCUGCCACAUCAUCAUCAGAGAGCAACAACAUCUCGCCUCCAUCUGUUAACAACACUACUUUCGCCACGGCCAAAGCCACCAAAGCGCCGUCGAAGAAACGAGAGAGCGUAGAAACGCCGGGACGGAAAUGCCUGCACUGUGCUUCAGACAAAACACCACAGUGGCGCACAGGGCCAUUAGGUCCAAAAACUCUGUGCAAUGCAUGUGGAGUUAGGUACAAGUCUGGUAGGCUUGUACCGGAGUAUCGACCGGCGUCUAGCCCGACUUUUAUCUCAGCGAGGCACUCGAAUUCUCAUCGGAAAGUUCUGGAACUCCGGAGGCAAAAGGAUCUCCAGAGACACCAAGCACAUCACCACCAGCAUCAAUUGCUUAGUCAACCCACUAUUUUCGGUGUAUCAAACGGCGGUGAUGAAUUUCUGCUUCAUCAUCACCAAAAUUGUGGUCCAAAU